AUCCAGCUGACGAGUGUCAAAUAGGACGAAACACGUCUCCUGGAU
rfam:Schistosoma mattheei strain Denwood, Zambia genome assembly, scaffold: SMTD_scaffold0002600